AAAGGCUAGCCAGAGCAGGCCUGUGGGCCCAGGCAGCUGGCAUGACAAUCUGCCAGCUGCUUUAGGGAGGGCCCUUUGAGAUCCCCUCUGCAAAACUUGUCUGGGGGGUUGUGGCACCAGGUGGAGGAAAGGGGGUUUCUGAUGAGGUUUUAACACACGUCUGUUCUAAACCACACCCACUCUUUUUGGCAGCAGAUCUGAGUGGGGCCACCUCUCUGCCGUCCCCCAAAUAGAAGCAGGGCUCUCAGGCAGGACAGUGCUUGGGCUGUUCAGAGUUUCGGGGGCGCCCUGUGGCCCGAGGCUGGAGGUAGGAAUGCAAUGGGGAUGGCUUCAAAGCCUCAGGGAGGAGGGGCUAUAUUCUCAAGAGUAGAAGAACAGGACCAGACCCAGGCUCAGGAAUCUCUCACCAGGGCCUGCGGUUGGCCACAAGGAAGCCAAGGCAGUGGGAAAAUGACUCCCUGGUGCUGAGGAUCAGCUGAAACAGUGACUUCUCACCAGAGGGCUGCGAUGAGCAAGCAGCUGACAGGUCAAUCUCGGCAGACAGACCAAUGGCCGGAGCCGGUCUUACAGGUCUUGAGCAAAAUGGUUUGGGUGGCCUCCCUGGCUGGAGCAUUUCUGAGACCCUCAGAGAUGAAUUGUGCUGAGCUCACCAUUUUCACAUUUGGUUGCUUUCUGGAGAACAGAUGUGAGUGUCCUGGAGGCCUGAGACAUACCAGGGGACCCUCGGCUCCUGAUAGAACAGAACAGAUCCAAGCCUGAAGCAAGUGUCUGAGGACUCGUAGUGGGAUGCUCCUGCUCCACUCAAAGAUCGAUAUCGGGGUAUAUCCCCACCACCACAUACACUCACAGGUCCCGGGUACAGACCUCACUGCCCUCAGGGAAGCCCCACCCCUCCUGAGACACUGGGACAUUCUCUUCUCCCCAUUCAUUCUCCUCCCAGCUGUGUUGUGAAGAAAGAGGACUUGGCAGAGCAGGAAUGCGUUCUGGCUAGUCUGAGGAUUGCUAGAGUGUGCCAAGCUCAGAUCCAUGUGCCAGGGACCAACGAAGCGAAAAGAGACUCAAGAAGAUUAAAGAACUUGCUAAGUGUGGCAGCCCUGCUGGAGGCUGGGCCCAGAGCCAGGCCCCUCACCCCUGCAAGGCAUCGCUCCUGCAGGAUCGUCGUCACCCUCAUCAUCGCCAUCCUUGUUCCUGACAGGCAGGAGAUCCUGGUAUUUUUCUGUGUGCUUCCCCUUCUCCAUCCCUUUUGGUGAUUUUCUGAACAUUGUGCAGUUGACAGUGUGGUCAUAUUCCCAUCGUGUAGAUGAGGACCCUGAGGUACAAAGAGGUGACAUGGGAAAUGCUGAGACAGGGCGCAGGUUUGAUGUGUUUCUCAGUAGUCUGAAGCAAUUGAGAAAAGUAAGUGCAAUGCAGUAAAUCUUUCAUGGGGCUAGCUUGACUUUAUCUAAAGGGCUGAGCUUAGUCUGAGAGAAUGUCCUUCCUACUGUUAAAUUGUCCUUUUCUUUUAUGAAAUGAUGACGGUAGUGGGUGGUGAUUGUUGCACUCUUAAUGUCCAAUUUUGGCAAAAUAAAAGGCUGGCUCUCUGGAGCUCCAAAUCAGCCCCAGCAGCUGAUGUGAAAUGCUGUUUGAUGAUGGUUGACUCCUAACGUCUGACUGUAGUGGUCUGGAGGCUCUGGGCCUGGCUCAGGGCUCCCUCACUGCACAUCUCUUCCAGCCAAAGCAUUUACCCAGGGACACCUACGCUGCUCACAAACAUGAAGGAUGCUCAAAGGUGUGGCCCUGCCACCUCCAUCUGAGUUGGGAAAAUGCCUUCCAUUACCCCUGACCAUGG
rnacentral:lncRNA from 1 species